GAUGAACGCUGGCGGCGUGCCUAACACAUGCAAGUCGAGCGAGAGUAUUGAGGCGCCUUAGACAAAUGAAUACUCUAGCGGCGGACGGGUGAGUAACACGUGAGCAACCUGCCUCAGACAGGGGGAUAACAGUGGGAAACGACUGCUAAUACCCUAUAAAAUGUAUGAAAGGCAUCUUUUAUACAUAAAAGAUUAAUCGGUCUGAGAUGGGCUCGCGUCUGAUUAGCUAGUUGGUGAGAUAAAGGCCCACCAAGGCGACGAUCAGUAGCCGAACUGAGAGGUUGACCGGCCACAUUGGGACUGAGACACGGCCCAGACUCCUACGGGAGGCAGCAGUGGGGAAUAUUGGGCAAUGGGCGCAAGCCUGACCCAGCAACGCCGCGUGAAGGAAGAAGGUCUUCGGAUUGUAAACUUCUUUGGUCAGGGACGAAAAGAAUGACGGUACCUGAAGAACAAGCCACGGCUAACUACGUGCCAGCAGCCGCGGUAAUACGUAGGUGGCAAGCGUUAUCCGGAUUUACUGGGUGUAAAGGGCGCGUAGGCGGUUUAUCAAGUCGGAUGUUGAAUCUCCGGGCUUAACCCGGAACAGUCAUCCGAAACUGGUAGACUUGAGUGUCGGAGAGGGAAGCGGAAUUCCUAGUGUAGCGGUAAAAUGCACAGAGAUUAGGAAGAACACCGGUGGCGAAGGCGGCUUUCUGGACGAUAACUGACGCUGAGGCGCGAAAGCGUGGGGAGCAAACAGG
rnacentral:rRNA from 1 species